GACGGGGCCGCACAAGCGGUGGAGUAUGUGGUUUAAUUCGAUGCAACGCGAAGAACCUUACCUGGUCUUGACAUCCCGGAGACCCUUAGGAAACUAGGGGUGCUUCCAUCUGGAAGAAUCUGGAGACAGGUGCUGCAUGGCUGUCGUCAGCUCGUGUCGUGAGAUGUUGGGUUAAGUCCCGCAACGAGCGCAACCCUUGCCUUUAGUUGCCAGCAGUUCGGCUGGGCACUCUAAAGGGACUGCCGGUGUUAAACCGGAGGAAGGUGGGGAGUGACGUCAAGUCCUCAUGGCCUUUAUGACCAGGGCUACACACGUACUACAAUGGCCGAUACAAAGGGCAGCGACACUGCGAGGUGAAGCCAAUCCCGUAAAAUCGGUCUCAGUCCGGAUUGGAGUCUGCAACUCGACUCCAUGAAGUCGGAGUCGCUAGUAAUCGCAGAUCAGCAACGCUGCGGUGAAUACGUUCCCGGGCCUU
rnacentral:rRNA from 1 species